GCCUGGCUGGCUCAGUCGGGAGAGCAUGUGACUCUUGAUCUUGGGAUUGUGAGUUCGAGCCCCACCCUGGGUG
rnacentral:tRNA from 1 species